rnacentral:rRNA from 1 species
GACGAACGCUGGCGGCGUGCUUAACACAUGCCAGUCGAACGGAAAGGCCUGCUUUCCCUUGUGGAUUGCGGGUACUCGAGUGGCGAACGGGUGAGUAACACGUGAGUGAUCUGCCCCCAACUUGGGUAUAAGCCUGGGAAACUGGGUCUAAUUCCCGAUAGGACUGCAGGGUGGUGCCUGUGGUGGAAAACGAUGUUCUAGUGGUUGGGGAUGAGCUCGCGGCCUAUCAGCUUGUUGGUGGGGUAAUGGCCUACCAAGGCGGCGACGGGUAGCCGGCCUGAGAGGGUGGACGGCCACAUUGGGACUGAGAUACGGCCCAGACUCCUACGGGAGGCAGCAGUGGGGAAUAUUGCACAAUGGGCGGAAGCCUGAUGCAGCGACGCCGCGUGGGGGAUGACGGCCUUCGGGUUGUAAACUCCUUUCGACCGCGAGGAAGCCACCUGGUUGGAAGGGUGGUGACGGUAGUGGUAGAAGAAGCACCGGCUAACUACGUG